AGAGUUUGAUCCUGGCUCAGGAUGAACGCUGGCGGCGUGCCUAAUACAUGCAAGUCGAGCGAACGGACGAGAAGCUUGCUUCUCUGAUGUUAGCGGCGGACGAGUGAGUAACACGUGGAUAACCUACCUAUAAGACUGGGAUAACUUCGGGAAACCGGAGCUAAUACCGGAUAAUAUUUUGAACCGCAUGGUUCAAAAGUGAAAGACGGUCUUGCUGUCACUUAUAGAUGGAUCCGCGCUGCAUUAGCUAGUUGGUAAGGUAACGGCUUACAAAGGCAACGAUGCAUAGCCGACCUGAGAGGGUGAUCGGCCACACUGGAACUGAGACACGGUCCAGACUCCUACGGGAGGCAGCAGUAGGGAAUCUUCCGCAAUGGGCGAAAGCCUGACGGAGCAACGCCGCGUGAGUGAUGAAGGUCUUCGGAUCGUAAAACUCUGUUAUUAGGGAAGAACAUAUGUGUAAGUAACUGUGCACAUCUUGACGGUACCUAAUCAGAAAGCCACGGCUAACUACGUGCCAGCAGCCGCGGUAAUACGUAGGUGGCAAGCGUUAUCCGGAAUUAUUGGGCGUAAAGCGCGCGUAGGCGGUUUUUUAAGUCUGAUGUGAAAGCCCACGGCUCAACCGUGGAGGGUCAUUGGAAACUGGAAAACUUGAGUGCAGAAGAGGAAAGUGGAAUUCCAUGUGUAGCGGUGAAAUGCGCAGAGAUAUGGAGGAACACCAGUGGCGAAGGCGACUUUCUGGUCUGUAACUGACGCUGAUGUGCGAAAGCGUGGGGAUCAAACAGGAUUAGAUACCCUGGUAGUCCACGCCGUAAACGAUGAGUGCUAAGUGUUAGGGGGUUUCCGCCCCUUAGUGCUGCAGCUAACGCAUUAAGCACUCCGCCUGGGGAGUACGACCGCAAGGUUGAAACUCAAAGGAAUUGACGGGGACCCGCACAAGCGGUGGAGCAUGUGGUUUAAUUCGAAGCAACGCGAAGAACCUUACCAAAUCUUGACAUCCUUUGACAACUCUAGAGAUAGAGCCUUCCCCUUCGGGGGACAAAGUGACAGGUGGUGCAUGGUUGUCGUCAGCUCGUGUCGUGAGAUGUUGGGUUAAGUCCCGCAACGAGCGCAACCCUUAAGCUUAGUUGCCAUCAUUAAGUUGGGCACUCUAAGUUGACUGCCGGUGACAAACCGGAGGAAGGUGGGGAUGACGUCAAAUCAUCAUGCCCCUUAUGAUUUGGGCUACACACGUGCUACAAUGGACAAUACAAAGGGCAGCGAAACCGCGAGGUCAAGCAAAUCCCAUAAAGUUGUUCUCAGUUCGGAUUGUAGUCUGCAACUCGACUACAUGAAGCUGGAAUCGCUAGUAAUCGUAGAUCAGCAUGCUACGGUGAAUACGUUCCCGGGUCUUGUACACACCGCCCGUCACACCACGAGAGUUUGUAACACCCGAAGCCGGUGGAGUAACCUUUUAGGAGCUAGCCGUCGAAGGUGGGACAAAUGAUUGGGGUGAAGUCGUAACAAGGUAGCCGUAUCGGAAGGUGCGGCUGGAUCACCU
rnacentral:rRNA from 1 species